CUUCCCGAAGCAUUUUCCGGGUUAGCUGCAGCAUCGUGGGCAGCUGGUGCCUUUGUUUGGCGUGGCGAUCGACGAGGGUCAUAUUACCACUCAGCGUGGCUGACCACUGGUCCAGGGGCGGACGGACUGCUCUGCUGGAGGCCCGCUGUCGCGUGGUUGUCUGUCGACUUGCUUUCGCCCGUUUAUUACUCCCGUCCUCCACAGUGAGGUCGCACUGUGGCACAGCUUGAGGGUAUGUACCAUGCUAAAUUCGCUAUACAACUAUUAUUUAGCGUUUCAUGGACAAUUUUUAUUUGUUUGUGCUAAUUUUGUUAUUGUUUUCAGCUACCGAUCCAAGAUCGGCUGCUGCUUUGGCUCGGCUCUGUUUCGUGUGUGUGUUUGCUCCCUCUCACGGGGUUACGUCGUUGGCCAGCCGCCGGAGCUGCGAGCCGCUAACCCGCGGCGAUAAGGACCGGCUCUGUCCCCGCAGGCAGUGCGUGGCCGGACCCCACACCCCGGAGGCCGGCCCUAUAAUAAAGAAGCGCCGCAUAGUGGGACUCUGUUUUUAAGUUGUCUAAUCAUCAGAGUUGCCUUGAGUUAUUCUUUUGUUUUGUUUUGAGUGAAUUGUUAUUGGUUUGUUGUCUUUUAAGUUAAAUGUUUUUUUAUAUUGAUUAUUGUGGGGUUUCUUUUGUUUAUUUUUCUCUUCUCUGUUGAACAAAUUAUUUGUUUGUUUGUGGUUUUUGUUUCCUUUUUUUCAAUUAUAUUGUUUAUUUAGAGAGAUGCACCAGGGGUCAAGUGGCUGGUAGUUUUAACCUUUCCCCUCUCUCUCUGGACAGGUGCUGAGGCCCCCGGCAGCAGCCCGGUUUCCUGGUGGUGGUGUUACCUUCACGUUCCCUUCUUGGUUGGUGUGCAGUGACACGGGUGCAUAGUUUGAGGACUUUUGUUUUUCCCUUUUUUUUUACUCCCCUGCUGCCACGGUAAGCCCCAGCCCUGUCCGACUGUUGCCCCUCUACCAGCCCUUUUUAAAAACAGUGAUGUGACUUUGCCCUGGUGCUCUAUUUGUUGUUAUUUCUUUUUUUGUUAAUAAACAUUUCUUUAUUAUGAACCGUCUC